AGGUGCAUUACAGGGCAAUGACUUCUUUGGCAGUAGUUAACUUAUUCAGAUGAUGAAUUAGUAGAUCAGAAUAACUCACUGCCAAAGAAGAUUUGCCCCGCAAUUCACUC
rfam:Cicer arietinum chromosome Ca6, whole genome shotgun sequence.